rnacentral:ncRNA from 1 species
AUCGUGACAAGCGAUCAAGGUUCUUCGGCCGUUCUCGACCGAAGCUAAGAGGGAAUUCGGUGAGGCGCGUCCUGUGCGCUGAUGCCGAGGCUGCCCCCGCAACUGUAAGCGGCGAGCCUUCCGUCCAUCGUCCACUGGCGCAACCAGCGCUGGGAAGGCCGGGCGGAGCAGGCGUCGACCCGCGAGCCAGGAGACCUGCCCUGAUCGACUGAACGGU